CACUAGUGCAGAGAGUGCUAUAGUGCUCUCUGCACUAGAACAACCACCCCUGGUAACAUGGGGGCUGCUGCCACCUGUGGCAAGUAUUUCAACUCACCUCACGGCAGCAGUGCCCCUGGUUCCAAUAGCAGAUUGCAUCAAUAGUCAUUACUAGUCAUUAGCAAAAAGCUAACGUGAUGCUCAUGUCAUUAUUGACUCCACACACAUUCGCACUAAGGAAGUUAUACCAUCUUCUACUCCCUGAAACACGCAUGCAUUGCACAGUAUGCCGGAAUGCUCGUAAGCAAAAAAAAGCUGCAUUGUGGAUAAACAACUUGGAGCUUUUUCAGCCAAAAUGUGUAAACUGCACCAUAUGCUACUAAAUACAAAGAUCUUAGCGUAUUUUAUAUGUACAGGGGAUAUUAGCUGAAUAUAAACCAUUUAUUUUAUAACCUAUUCACUAUAUAGAGUGUUUGCAAGGUUCUAUUCAAACCUGUGCUGUGAUUAUUCUGUUAUGUUUUUAUACUUUUUUCAACCUUUUCAUUUGUAUUCAUUUACUUGACUUCUAAGCAGUCAUUUAAUCAGUUUGUUUCUAUUUACAUUCAAUGGAGGAUGUUGACAUAGAUGAGAAGGAUAUGAUGUCAUCAGUAUGGGACAAUCAUUAUGUCAUCACUGUGGGUUUUCCCUCCAUUUUGGGUUUAUAAGGGAGGGGACUGUGACGCUUUGUAAUUUUGUCAAAGGCUGUGAACAUAGUGGUGUGCUGCUACAACUCCUGUGGAAGAGGAUGCAACAGAUGAACUCAUAAAACUGGUAAGUGUAAUAUUAAUCUAUCUAAUCUAUCUGGUGUGGGUGGAUGGAAAAAAUAAUUUUGCAUUGUUGUAUUUUUUUUAUCCUGUGCUUCUUUGUUUUACAGGUUUACAUGCAUUAGGAAAGAUUCUUUACUUAACUUGUUUUUGCAUGUUUUCCUCUUGUUAAAACCUUAGCCACUUUGGUACUUUAUCCGCUCAUACGUACCAAAUAAAAGCACAAACCAAAAAACAUGCCAAGGAUAGAGAAAUACAUGUUGGCAUUGUGAACCUUCAGCUCAGGCAUGUGUUCUUUUUUUACAGGUUUUCCUAGUUUGGAAAUCAUCUAGGCUGUAUUGUACUUUAGACUUAUUUGGGAUCCUGUUUCUUGUGGUGAGUAUAAGUGGAUGGACAAAUGCAUUUUGGCUUGUUCUUCAGCCCCCGGCAUCUUUGUUUUAUAGGUUGGGCGUGAUGCUGGUAGGGCAAGCAGUGUAUAUAGGUAACCUUGGACUGCUUAAGCUUGCGGCCAGUAGGUGAAUACAAGAAUAGGUGUGCAUUCAUAAGAGCACUGGCUCUUAACCCUGAGCAUGUGUUUGUUUUUACAGGUUUUCCUGCUAAUGCCGUCUGCUGGAGCUUGAGAUUGGUAUGUUUGUUUAUGAAUGUACACCUAUUCCUCUACUGUGUUUUUUCAGCCCAUGCGUGUAUUUGUUUGGCAGGUUUUGGGAACAGUAUAGCCUUUGUGGUACUUCAGCUUUACCUGGCAUCCUGUUUCUCUUUGGUGAGUAUAUGCAUGGAUAAAGAAAUUCCUAUUAGUGUUUUCAUGCUUCUGCCCAGGAAUCUUUGUUUUACAGGUUGAUCAUGAUCUUGGACUGCUUGAGUCUGAGACCACUAGGUAAGUAGAACAGGUCAGGACAGUGAUUUUUAAGCCCGGGCAUGUUUUUGUUUUUACAGGUUUUCCUGGUUUGAAAAAAGUCUAGUCACAGUGGUACUUUUGCAUUAAUUAGGACCCUGUUUCUUCUGGUAUGUACAAAUGGAUGGACAAGUUAAUUUUGCACUGUCAUUCUAUAAAUUGGGCCUCUUUGUUUUAUAGGUUGGUCAUGCUGUAAAAAAGGCGAGCAGUGUAGACCGGUAACCUUGGACUUGAUGGAGUUUCUGACCAGUAGAUGAGUAAAAGAAAAGGUGUGUAUUCAUAAGGAAAUUGAUUCUUUAGCAUGGGUAUAUUUUUGUUUUUACAGGUUUUCCUGGUUUGGGGAAAAAAGCCUUAUUUUGGUAAGUAUGAGUGUAUAGAGAAAUACAAUUUGGAAUUGUUGUUUUUUUGACUAGGGCAUCUUUGUUUCUGUGUUUUUGGUAGGUAGAUGAGUCGCUUGAGAAAUACGUGUUUUCAUUAUUCAGCCCAGAAUUCUUUGUUUUACAUGUCGAUCGUGAUGUAGGAAAGGCUUACAGCGUGGGCAGGUAGCCUUGGACUGCAAGAGUUUGUGACCAGUAGAUAAGUAGAAUAGGGGUGCAUUAAUAAAAAAAAAAAAAGUGAUCCAUUAGCCCAGGCAUGCAUUUGGUUUUACAGGCUUUCCUGAUUUGGGAAAUGUUUAAUCGAUGUGGUACUUCAUUCUUGGUGUUUUUUUCUGGGAUCUUGGUAAGUAUGAGUGGGUGGACAAAUUUGGGCAGUUUGGUCUUUCAUUCUUCAGCCUAUCUGAUUUUUUUUUACAGGUUAGGUCCAUGUAUAAGAGUGUAGUCUGGUAACUAUUCCUCUACUAAGUGUUUUUGUUUUUUGUUUUUUUCAGCCCAUGCAGGUAUUUGUUUGGCAGGUUUUGGUAACAGUCUAGCCUUUGUGGUACUUCAGUCUUACCUGGGCUCCUGCUUUUCUUUGGUGAGUAAAUGCAAAUGUAUAAGGGUGUAGUCUGUGGUAAGUAUGAGUGGUAGACCAAAUUCAUUUUGGCAUUGUAAUUCUCUUUAGUCCAGUCAUCUGUUUUUUCAGGUUGGCACUGAUGUAGGAAAGGCAAGCAGUGGAGGCCGCAUAAAUUUGUCUGCUGCGGCUUGUGAUCAGUAGGUGAGUAUAGAGGAGUAAGGGUGCAUGAGGAGACUGUAUCUCUUAGGCCAGUCAUGUAUACUUCAUCCUUCGCCGUUUUUUUGGGAGUGGACGGACAAAUGGAUUUUGGUGUUGUCAUUCUUCAGCCUGUGUAUCUAUUUUGCAGGUUGGGCCCAUGUGUAAGCAAGGGUAGUCGGUAGAGGAAUAGGUGUGCAUUCAUAAAGAAAGUGCUUUCUCAGCCCAGGAAUGUAUUUGUUUUGGGAACAGAGCUUUUGUGGUACUUCAGCAUCACCUGGCAUCCUGCUUCUCUUUGGUGAGUAUAUGCAUGGAUAAAGAAAUUCCUAUUAGUGUUUUCAUGCUUCUGCCCAGGAAUCUUUGUUUUACAGGUUGAUCAUGAUCUUGGACUGCUUGAGUCUGAGACCACUAGGUAAGUAGAAUAGGUCAGGACAGUGAUUUUUAAGCCCGGGCAUGUUUUUGUUUUUACAGGUUUUCCUGGUUUGAAAAAAGUCUAGUCACAGUGGUACUUUUGCAUUAAUUGGGACCCGGUUUCUUCUGGUAUGUACAAAUGGAUGGACAAGUUAAUUUUGCACUGUUAUUCUAUAAAUUGGGCCUUUGUUUUAUAGGUUGGUCAUGUUGUAAAAAAGGCGAGCAGUGUAGACCGGUAACCUUGGACUUGAUGGAGUUUCUGACCAGUAGAUGAGUAAAAGAAAAGGUGUGUAUUCAUAAGGAAAUUGAUUCUUUAGCAUGGGUAUGUUUUUGUUUUUACAGGUUUUCCUGGUUUGGGAAAAAAAAGCCUAGAAACUGGGGUACUUGAGCCUUAUUUUGGUAAGUAUGCGUGUAUAGAGAAAUACACUUUGGAAUUGUUGUUUUUUUGACUAGGGCAUCUUUGUUUCUCUGUUUUUGGUAGGUAGAUGAGUCGCUUGAGAAAUACGUGUUUACAGGCUUUCCUGAUUUGGGAAAUGUUUAAUCAAUGUGGAACUUCAUUCUUGGUGUUUUUUUCUGGGAUCUUGGUAAGUAUGAGUGGGUGGACAAAUUUGGGCAGUUUGGUCUUUCAUUCUUUAGCCUAUCUGGUUUUUUUUUUUAAAGGUUCGGUCCAUGUAUAAGAGUGUAGUCUGGUAACUUUUCCUCUACUAAGUGUUUUUUUUUUCAGCCCAUGCAGGUAUUUGUUUGGCAGGUUUUGGUAACAGUCUAGCCUUUGUGGUACUUCAGUCUUACCAGGGCUCCUGCUUUUCUUUGGUGAGUAAAUGCGUGGAUUAAGAAAUUCCUAUUGGUCUUUUCAUCCUUCAGCCCAGAAAUCUUUGUUUUACAGGUUGAUUAUUAUGUAGAAAAGGGCAAGCAACAUAGGCAGGUAGCCUUGUACUGCUUGAGUCUGAGACAACUAGGUAAGUACAAGAAUAGGUGUGCAUUCAUAGACAGUGAUUUUUAAACCUGGGCAUGUUUUAGUUUUGCAAGUUAUCCUGGUUUGGAAACCGUCUAGUUACAGUGGUACUUUAGACUUAAUUGGGGUCUAGUUUCUUCUGGUAAUUAUGAGUGAAUGUACAAAGUCAUAUUGACAUUGUGAUUCUUCAGGUCAGCCAUGUAUUUUUACACAAAAAAGGUACUUUUUCUUUGGCAGGUUUUUUGGGAUGCAGUUUCUUUUGGUAAGUAUGAGUGGAGGACCAAAUUAAUUUUGGCAUUGUAAUUCUUUAGUCCAGUCAUCUUUGUUUUUUCAGGUUGGCACUGAUGUAGGAAAGGCAAGCAGUAGAGGCCGCUUAAAUUUGUCUGCUUGGCUUGUGAUCAGUAGGUGAGUAUAGAGGAGUAAGGGUGCAUGAGGAGACUGUAUCUCUUAGGCCAGUCAUGUAUACUUCAUCCUUCGCCGUUUUUUUGGGAGUGAACGGACAAAUGGAUUUUGGUGUUGUCAUUCUUCAGCCUGUGUAUCUAUUUUGCAGGUUGGGCCCAUGUGUAAGCAAGGGUAGUCGGUAGAGGAAUAGGUGUGCAUUCAUAAAGAAAGUGCUUUCUCAGCCCAGGAAUGUAUUUGUUUUGGGAACAGUAUAGCUUUUGUGGUACUUCAGCAUCACCUGGGAUCCUGCUUCUCUUUGGUAGGUAUUUGUGUGGAUGAAGACGUUGCUAUUGGUGUUUUCAUUUUUCUUCCAAGAAAUCUGUUUUACAGGUGAAACAUGAUGUACAAAAGGCAAGCAACAUACAGUAGGUAGGUAGCCUUGUACUGCUUGAGUCUGAGACAACUAGGUAAGUAGAUGAAUAGGUGUGCAUUCAUAAAAAAGUGAUCCUUUAGUCCAGGCUUUUUUUCAUGUUUUCCUGGUUCGGAAAAUGUCUAGUCACAGUGGUGCGUCAGCCUUAAUUGGGAUCUUGUUUCUUCUGGUAAGUAUGAGUGAAUGUACAAAGUCCUAUUGACAUUGUGAUUUUUCAGGUCAGGCAUGUAUUUGUUUUUACAGGAUGAAAAAACAAAGCAUUUAGCCACUUUGGUACUUUUUCCAUGGCAGGUUUUUUGGGAUGCAGUUUCCUUUGGUAAGUAUAAGUAGAAGACCAAAUUAAUUUUGUCAUUGUAAUUCUUUAGCCCAGUCAUCUUUGCUUUUCAGGUUGGCACUGAUGUAGGAAAGGCGAGCAGCGGAGGCCGCGUAAUCUUGUCUGCUGCGGCUUGUGAUCAGUAGGUGAGAAGAGGAGUAAGGGCGCAUGAGAUGAGUAGACUGUACCUUUAGCCCAGGCAUGUAUUUGUUUUUACAGGUUUUCCUCAUAUGAAACAUCUAUCCCCUUGGGUACUUGGCAGUUCUCUUGGCAUUAUCUUCUUUUGGUAUGUAUGAGUGUUUGAAGAAAUUAAUUUUGCAUUGUCAUUUUUCACGCCGGCAUCUUUGUGUUACAGGUUGAGCCCUUUUAUAGGAAGGGAUAGCAGCAGAGGCAGACAACCUUGGACUGCUGGAGCACGCUAUAGGUAGGUGAGUGCAUAAGGAGUCUGUAUCUCUUGGAAUGUAUUUGUUUUUACAGGUUUUCCUGGUUUGGGAAAUAUUUAGUCAAUGUGGUAUGUCAUCCUUCACCGGUUUCUUGGGUGUGGAAGGACAAAUGCAUUUUGGUGUUGUCAUUCUUCUGACUGUGCAUCUGUUUUGCAGGUUGGGCCUAUGUGUAAGAAAGGGUAGACCGUAGAGGAAUAUGUGUGUGCAUUUAUAAAAGUGCUUUUUCAGCCCAGGAAUAUAUUUGUUUUGGGAACAGUCUAGCCUUUGUGGUACUUCAGCAUCACCUGGGAUCCUGCUUCUCUUUGGUAGGUAUGUGCAUAGAUGAAGAAAUUGCUAUUGGUGUUUUCAUUCUUCAGCCCAGAAAUCUUUGUUUUACAGGUUAAACAUGAUGCACAAAAGGCUAGCGGCAUAGGCAGGUAGCCUUGGACUGCUUGAGUUUGUGAAUGGUACAUCAUGCUUCUGGUACGUAUGGUAGAACUUUCUAUUGCUUUGGGAUUCUGCAGCCCAGGCAUGUGUUUAUUUUUACAGGUUCUCCUUGUUUGGGAAAGAUCUAGGCACUGGCACUUCAUUCUUGGUAGGUUUCUUGGCAUCCUGUUUCUUUUGGUAGGUAUGAGUGGCUUGAGCAAUUAAUUUUGCAUACCUAAUUUAGCAUAAGAGACUGUUUGUUCGGCCUAGGCAUGUAUUCAUUUUUCCAGGUUGUCUUGGUUUGGGAAACAUCUAGCCAAUGUGUUACUACAUUCUUACUUCAGUCUUUGGGAUCCUGUAUCUUUUGGUAAGUAUGAGUGGAUAGACAAAUUUCUUUAGGCAUUGUGAUUCUUCAGCCCAGGAAUGUAUUUGUUUUUACAGGUUUUCCCUCAUGAAACAUGUAGCCACUUCAGUACGUCUUCCUCUGCAAGUUUCUUGGAAUGCAGUUUCUUUUGGUAAGUAUGAGUGGCAGAACAAAUUAAUUUUGGCAUUGUGAUUCUUCAGCCCAAGUAUCUAUUUGUUUUAUAGCUUGAGACAUUACACGGGAAAAAGUCCAGAGAUGGUUAAGCUUCACCCUUGGCUGGUUGCUGCCUGGUUUGAUGAAGUCCCCAGCCUUGCAGCAGUUUCCUUAUGGUGAUGCCCCACCAACUCCACACCCAAGGCAACAGCCCUUCUUGCUUGGACCGAACAAGAUGAGCGGAUGAGAAACCUGAUGUCUCCUCAUCACCGUGCCAUGAUGUAUCCAGUUGCAUUUUAUAUUUGUAUAUGGAUUGUAAAAUGUUUGUUUUUCAUUAAACACAUUUUUAUGACUUUCA